AGAACUCAGACCCUGCCAUGACUCCCUGAAUUCUUGGAAAAACUGCAUGUUCUGGGCAGUUCAGUGGGUGCCAUGAGCUGUAAGAUUCAAAUGGUUUCAUUUCUGUUCGUCUUUGCAUAUCAGAAUCCAGAUGAGCCCUUGAGCUUUGACACUGACCAGGGUAAUUCUUCAGCAUUAAAUUGCAGUGAGAACAAUGGAACUGAGCUGAGAUGUUCCCAGGGCAGCAGUGAAUCUCAAAUAAACUGUUCUGUAAAGAAACACUGCAUUGUUUCUGGGCUGAAUCUUUGUUCCAUUGGCCCCACCUCCUCUGUUGGGAAACCUUGGCCACUCAACCCACGCUGCCACUCCAGGGAAGAAUCUCCAGGACUUUUCCAGGCAAGGAGAGGUUCUUUGGUGAACGUUUUCUCAGAAGGCACAAACUGAAGCAGUAGUUUUGCAUUUGCUUGGUGGAUCUUCUCCCUAGCACAUGCUCAAUGCUUGGAUGAAUGAGUUAUUUAAGUGUAUUUGAAGGUUGUGACAGACACCUGUAAACAGACAGAUAUUGAUAAAAAUGUCAUUUGGAGGCAGAUCUGUGCUUUUCUUGCAAUCCAAUUACUCCUGAUGGCGAGGAGCCCGGAGCUCCCAGCACUGAGCAUUAACCCAGAGUGUGAUGGACAGGCUGCCCUCACAGGGGAGCAUGAGCAGGGCCUGCUUCACCUCCGGCUCUGACCAAACUCCAGGAGUUCAUGGAGAUAUCUGUAAUUCCCACCAGAGCGAAAGGGGACUGACUCCAGAUGUGUCCAUGGGCUUUGUGUGGACCUUGUGUCAGCUGAAGGUGCUGAAGGAUCCAGCCUGACCUGCUCCUGAAAUUACCCAGCUGGAGAUCUGGCUGCAAAAGGUUCCCUUUGGAAUAUUCCCUGGGAUUUGCUGCCCUGUAAGUCAUGCAGGAAGGAGUUCCUGUGGCUGUUCCCAGAGAAGCUGUGACUGCCCCAUCCCUGGAAGUGUUCAAGGCCAGGUUGGAAGAAACUGGGAUAGUGGAAGGUGUCCCUGCCCAUGGUAGGGGGUGGAAUGGGAUGAGCUGGAACUUCCAACCCAACCCAUUCCAUGAUUUUUUUGAUUCUUUAUUCGUGGUAAGAACAGUGAGACUGUG
rnacentral:lncRNA from 1 species